rnacentral:rRNA from 1 species
UACGUAGGGUGCAAGCGUUGUCCGGAAUUAUUGGGCGUAAAGAGCUCGUAGGCGGUUUGUCGCGUCGGCUGUGAAAACCUGGGGCUCAACCCCGGGCCUGCAGCCGAUACGGGCAAACUAGAAUUCGGUAGGGGAGACUGGAAUUCCUGGUGUAGCGGUGAAAUGCGCAGAUAUCAGGAGGAGCACCGAUGGCGAAGGCAGGUCUCUGGGCCACUACUGACGCUGAGAAGCGAAAGCAUGGGGAGCGAACGGG